UGGCUGAGGAACGCUGAGGGAAAAGCUGAAUUUUGGAAUUUUGGAGAGGCUGAAGCAUGUGGCAUCUCCCAGGAUCAGCCCCAGCCUCUGCUGUCUCCAAUUUCUGCCCAGACAUCUGAUAUUCCCGAGCUCUUCCCACCCUCCAAGGCCUCUGCAAGUGUUAAGUAUUUUUUUGCAUCCAGCAAAUGGAACAAUAAGGGAGGACUUAAUUUUCCCAUCUGUCAACUCAUCCCGAACAAAUUGUACGUCUUCCUCUUCGGAGUGAAAUCUCAGCUAAAUUAAAACAUUUACUGUUCAUUUUCAUGUAGCAGAGGUUCUGCAGGAAAUUCUGUCAUCACAUUUCUGCCUGAUGCUGUCUGUCUGUCCUGCCCUCGGCCUGUCCCUCCUGCUGUCCCAAUGUCAGCCAGCUGGCUGGCUCAGAUAAGGGCUCCAGGGGCAGAUAAGAAGUUCCUCCCCUUCUCCUCCCUCUCCUGGAGCAGCAGCAAAUGGUGAGGCUGAGCUUUGACAGCCCCACAAACACCCAGGAAAGUGAAAACAAUCCCAGCCCCUCCCAGGCUCUGGGAAAAACAUUUGUGAACGCAAUUCUUUGGUGAGAGAAGUGAAAUAAUAACAAAAAAAAAAGUUACCCUUGAGGUUCCAGGGCAGGGUUACCUGGAGCAAACGCCGCUCUGUGAUGUGGCAAGGACACACCCUGCAGGACACAGCAGAGGGGAUCUGCUCCUCGCUGGCCCCCAAGGGGGGCAAGAAUCAGGACAAGAAUCCGUGUUUGCAGAGCCCUGUGAUGGCAGCAGCACGGCUCAGCCCCGCUGUCUGUCCAUAAAUCCAGGACACAAAGAAAAGUGGGAACAAACCGCCUGUAACUCAGCAAAGUUCCUGGAAGGAGCCCAAAAGCCGUGUCUAAUGCUAAUAAUAAGCGUAUUUCCCAAAGCACAGGGGAAGAUCUGAGCUGAAGGAAAUGGAACUCUCCCAGACCAGGAUGAUCUCAAUCAGGAAUCCAGGAAUUUUCAGGAUUUUUGAUCUGCAGGAGGAAAUCUUGAUGGGAUGUUGAGUCAGAAUCUUGUAAUUCUUACUUGAAAGACCAUUAAAAUGGAAAUAUUUUCUCAGGAGGAAAUCUUGGUGGAACGAUGAGUCAGAACCUUGUAAUCCUUAUUGGAAAGACCAUUAAAAUGGAAAUAUUUUCUGAAAUACAGCACAGGUGGGGAUCUGAGCUGCAGAGCAAAUGCUGCAGGUGAAACUUGCCCUGAAAAUCCCUCCCCAGUCCAGAGGUGAGUGAGUGAUGAGCCAAAAAAAGAGGAUUUCGAGACAAUGUGACUCCAGCAGGCCAUGAGAACAAUGAGAAGUUCAAAAAUAGCACUAUUGACUGGUGGAAAAACAACAUACAUAUAAUUUUCAGGCUUUGCUUAUUAAGAAUCAUUUACUAUCUGUAGAAACAACUUCUGACUUAAGCACUGGGGCCUUAAAAAAUCACUUUUAAUUGGAAUGAGAGAGUUCCUCCCAGUGAAACCCUGGGUCUGUUGAUGCUGGAAGUCUGGAGAGUGCAAUUAAAAGCCUCCUUCACCUCUGUGAUGAUAUCUUGGAAAUAAAUGCAGCUUUCUGGAGUUUUUCUCCUCGUGUUUGAAUAGUUUUUUGGCCAAUUUGGAGCUUCUGGAGGAUCUGAUGUUUUAAGUUUUGCCUGGCUUUGAAUUUCUCAGCUGCCCAGGACCUGCUGUGGUUGCUUUUUACUCUUUCUUCUUCUGCUGCAUCCACAAAUUAUGAAAAUGGGUGCUAAUGACCAAAAAAAAAAAAAAAAUCCCAAUCGUGAUUCAUGGAAAUGGAAUUUUGUUGACAAAAAAAGGGGGAUUUAACUUGGCCAAAGGAAAUGCUUUUCCAACUGGAGAUGAAUAUCUCAGGAAUGACCAUUUCUUCUCAGAGACAGAACUAUUCCAGUUUUCAUUUCAGAAAAAACAAAAUAGAAUAAUGCAAAUAAAGACCUGGAGAAAAGCAAGCAGAUCCACCCAAAAGGGGCAGUUUUUCCAGGCAAAGAAGUCCCAAAAGUGAAUUUUGGGAUGGGAAUUCUGUCACUCCAGGCUGGGAGUUCUGUCAUUGCAGGAUGGGAAUACAGGUUAACUAUAUGUGACCUGUCCACCUUGGUCAAAAUCCACAGUUUUGUCCUGGAUUGAUGGGAGGUGACACAUCCUGAUACCAUUCCAUUGUCAUCCCUAUCUACUAGGAGUUGUUUUCUUCAGGGCUUCAUAUAAAUAUUCUUACCAAUAAACAGCAUUGUAUCAAAAAGCUCCUUAAA